AGCAAUGAAUGGCUUGGUGGC
rnacentral:miRNA from 1 species